GAGUUUGAUCUUGGCUCAGGACGAACGCUGGCGGCGUGCCUAAUACAUGCAAGUAGAACGCUGAAGGGAGAGCUUGCUCUUCUGGAUGAGUUGCGAACGGGUGAGUAACGCGUAGGUAACCUGCCUGGUAGCGGGGGAUAACUAUUGGAAACGAUAGCUAAUACCGCAUAACAUUGACUAUUGCAUGAUAGUCAAUUGAAAGGUGCAAAUGCACCACUACCAGAUGGAUCUGCGUUGUAUUAGCUAGUUGGUGGGGUAACGGCUCACCAAGGCGACGAUACAUAGCCGACCUGAGAGGGUGAUCGGCCACACUGGGACUGAGACACGGCCCAGACUCCUACGGGAGGCAGCAGUAGGGAAUCUUCGGCAAUGGACGGAAGUCUGACCGAGCAACGCCGCGUGAGUGAAGAAGGUUUUCGGAUCGUAAAGCUCUGUUGUAAGAGAAGAACGAGUGUGAGAGUGGAAAGUUCACACUGUGACGGUAUCUUACCAGAAA
rnacentral:rRNA from 1 species